UACGUAGGUGGCAAGCGUUGUCCGGAUUUACUGGGCGUAAAGCGUGUGUAGGCGGGUCUUUUAAGUAGGAAGUGAAAGGUUGGGGCUCAACCCCAACAUUGCUCCCUAUACUGGGGAUCUUGAGUGUCGGAGAGGACGAUGGAACUGCACGUGUAGCGGUGAAAUGCGUUGAGAUGUGCAGGAACACCAAUGGCGAAGGCAAUCGUCUGGACGAAGACUGACGCUGAGACGACGAAAGCCAAGGUAGCAAACAGG
rnacentral:rRNA from 1 species